UUUCCGUAGGUGAACCUGCGGAAGGAUCAUUCAUAAUAAGUGUUUUAUGGCACUUUUUAAAUCCAUAUCCACCUUGUGUGCAAUGUCAGUCGAUCUUCUUCAUGGAGAUCGACCAAACAUCAACCUUUAUUUUUUAACUCUUUGUCUGAAAAAUAUUAUGAAUAAACAAUUCAAAAUACAACUUUCAACAACGGAUCUCUUGGCUCUCGCAUCGAUGAAGAACGCAGCGAAAUGCGAUACGUAAUGUGAAUUGCAGAAUUCAGUGAAUCAUCGAAUCUUUGAACGCAUAUUGCGCUCUUUGGUAUUCCGAAGAGCAUGCUUGUUUGAGUAUCAGUAAACACCUCAAAGCUUUUGGAUUUUUUAAUCGAAAAGCUUUGGACUUGAGCAAUCCCAACACCAAUCUUUUUGAGAUCGGUGGCGGGUUGCUUGAAAUGCAGGUGCAGCUGGACAUUCUCCUGAGCUAAAAGCAUAUUCAUUUAGUCCCGUCAAACGGAUUAUUACUUUUGCUGCAGCUAACAUAAAGGGAGUUUGACCGUAUUGGCUGACUGAUGCAGGAUUUCACAAGGGUCGGCAACGAUUCUUGUUAAACUCGAUCUCAAAUCAAGUAAGACUACCCGCUGAACUUAA
rnacentral:ncRNA from 3 species